GGCAGAAGCAAGAGGAUAUUUUCUCUGAUAUUUACUGUGAGAACCUAGUUCAGUUCCUGGAGAUAAAACUCACAAAAUUGUGGGGAUCCCCAUAUGACUGACCACCCCCUGCUGCCUCCAGAGUUUUAAAGUCUCAGAUUGGUCCACACUGUGCUGCUAGCAAUUCAUCAAUUUCAGAAUAUGUACAGACAAAAACAAGUAUGCUAAUGAAAUUUCUUCAAAUACUACAAACAAUUAGUGAAGACUGCUACUAUAGGCUGCUGCUGUAUUUUUAAGAGGCUCAACUUCAAAUACUUCAACCUUUUAUGGAAAGAUGGAAACACACAACAAACUAUGUAGAUCUUGAUACAAGUCUCCAUCAAGUUGAUUCAUUUUCAAAAGUAAAUUACAUCCUAAUCUCAAACCUGUGGCAAGACAAGUCAAAUCAUCAAAGAAUGUCCUGUGACAGCCAAGGAGGCGGCCCCGCGGGAACCAGGUCCUGCGAGGAGGGCGGUCGGCCGCUCCCUCCCGACUCCCUCCUGGGCCGGCGGCCCAGGGUGCGGCGCUGCCAGCAGGUUGAUCGGGCGGAGCUUUGGGAGCGGCUCGACUGACCGCCCGAGGGGCUGAGGCUUCAAGGCGAGAUCACCGCCGGCCAAAUAAGAAUAAACAAACUCCAAAGAAAAAAAAAAGCCUUUCCGCCUUCCCUCAUUGGACAGCGAGACAGAGUCUUGGGCUCCUCCGCACGCACCUUCUCCAGCAAUCAUUUUUCCCC
rnacentral:lncRNA from 10 species